ACCAGACUCCUACGGGAGGCAGCAGUGAGGGAUAUUGGUCAAUGGGCGGGAGCCUGAACCAGCCAAGUCGCGUGAGGGAAGACGGUCCUACGGAUUGUAAACCUCUUCUGCCGGGGAGCAACGGGGUCCUUGCGAGGGCCCAAUGAGAGUACCCGGAGAAAAAGCAUCGGCUAACUCCGUGCCAGCAGCCGCGGUAAUACGGAGGAUGCGAGCGUUAUCCGGAUUUAUUGGGUUUAAAGGGUGCGCAGGCGGAGGUGCAAGUCAGCGGUCAAAUUGCGGGGCUCAACCCCGUCGUGCCGUUGAAACUGACGCCCUUGAGUGAGUGAGAAGUAAGCGGAAUGCGUGGUGUAGCGGUGAAAUGCAUAGAUAUCACGCAGAACGCCGAUUGCGAAGGCAGCGUACCGGCGCUCAACUGACGCUGAGGCACGAAAGUGCGGGUAUCGAACAGGAUUAGAUACCCCAGUACAG
rnacentral:rRNA from 1 species